CAGCCGCGGUAAGACGUAGGGCGCGAGCGUUGUCCGGAUUUAUUGGGCGUAAAGAGCUCGUAGGCGGCUUGUCGCGUCGACUGUGAAAACCCGCGGCUCAACUGCGGGCCUGCAGUCGAUACGGGCAGGCUAGAGUUCGGUAGGGGAGACUGGAAUUCCUGGUGUAGCGGUGAAAUGCGCAGAUAUCAGGAGGAACACCGGUGGCGAAGGCGGGUCUCUGGGCCGAUACUGACGCUGAGGAGCGAAAGCGUGGGGAGCGAACAGGAUUAGAUACCCUGGUAGUCCACGCUGUAAACGUUGGGCGCUAGGUGUGGGGGGCCUCUCCGGUUCUCUGUGCCGCAGCUAACGCAUUAAGCGCCCCGCCUGGGGAGUACGGCCGCAAGGCUAAAACUCAAAGGAAUUGACGGGGGCCCGCACAAGCGGCGGAGCAUGCGGAUUAAUUCGAUGCAACGCGAAGAAC
rnacentral:rRNA from 1 species